rnacentral:rRNA from 1 species
UGGGGAAUAUUGGACAAUGGGGGGAACCCUGAUCCAGCCAUGCCGCGUGUGUGAAGAAGGCCUUUUGGUUGUAAAGCACUUUAAGCAGUGAAGAAGACUCUUCGGUUAAUACCCGGGGACGAUGACAUUAGCUGCAGAAUAAGCACCGGCUAACUCUGUGCCAGCAGCCGCGGUAAUACAGAGGGUGCAAGCGUUAAUCGGAAUUACUGGGCGUAAAGCGAGCGUAGGUGGCUUGAUAAGUCAGAUGUGAAAUCCCCGGGCUUAACCUGGGAACUGCAUCUGAAACUGUUAGGCUAGAGUAGGUGAGAGGGAAGUAGAAUUUCAGGUGUAGCGGUGAAAUGCGUAGAGAUCUGAAGGAAUACCGAUGGCGAAGGCAGCUUCCUGGCAUCAUACUGACACUGAGGCUCGAAAGCGUGGGUAGCAAACAGG